CAGCAACCACAGCGAAGCCCACGAAGCAGGUGAUAUUGAUUGUGGAGGCUGUAACAAAUGAAGCAAAUGGCGCUGUUUUUUAAAACAUAAACUUACCUAUCCAUGAUACAAAUUCAUCAGAUAUUGGUAUGGAGCUAUGGUUAGAGUGCAGUUUGUCGAUCAUACCAGACAUCUGCCCAAAUAUGAACCCAUCUGAGAUACUGCCUAUUGCGAUUCCAACGGUGACCAGGAACUGGAAGAUAUAAAAUAUAACAUUCUUAAGGAUGAAGUUAAUAAGUUACCAAAGCUCGUGGAGAGGAGCGUGUUUGUGAUAGAAAGUGGAACGUCAAAAAAAAAUAAUCGGCAUUAACUGGAGCGUUAAAUUGAACAAUUUUCAUUUAACCCCAAUCCGUGAUUUUAUAGAAGAUAAAAGUUUAAUAAAUU